rnacentral:tRNA from 2 species
GCGCGAGUGGCGGAAUUGGCAGACGCGCAGGAUUCAGGUUCCUGUGCCCGAAAGGGUGUGAGGGUUCAAGUCCCUCCUCGCGCACCA